UUCGAAACAAACAGACACUCGUUAUCGUUUCGUGGCUGGAGAAGAUGCGAGCCAAGCGAAAAGCAGCCACAGCAGCAGAAGGAGAAGGAGAAGGAUAGUUCGAAGGAAAAAAGUGGACUUCUAGUGGAAGAAAGAUGCAAGGAGAUGAUGUCUGUCGCGGGAAUCUCUCUUUUCCUCUGGGCUGCAAGUGAUUUAUUAAGUCUGCCACCACGAGCCUUGGGUUUUUGGAUCCUUGGUUGCUUCUAUCCAUCUUAUCCCUAUCGAUCCAACAGACAGUAAGCGGGUCCCGAGCCAUGUGUGAGUAAACGAGGCACAGCAAGGCUUGUUCUUGGCACAGGCGCUUUUUUUUUUACUCUGCCAAGGACUAGAGGAGCACGGAGAGAUCCCGGAGUUUUCCAUCGUCUUCCUUUCCCGUUAUAGCUCCAUCCAGCGCCAGGAGGGAGUAUCACGAAUCAUGAUUCAUCAUGGUGACUUACGCGAAAGGCUGCCGUAGAGGGUCUCGGAAACGCUGUCCAAAUGGCGGUGCAGUAACAAGGCAGGAGGAGCAUCUUUUUCGCUGCAAAUGCGGAGUAAAAAAUAAGUCCUGAGAGUCAUGGAUGAAGUGGACAAGCGAUACGAACGAACAACGCUGGACAGUGGUAACUUACAUAGCUGCUGCAGGAAGGACCACAACACCUUACAGAGACUUGGGAAGAAGAGCCCCCGCCGGGAGUUUUAAGUUGGUUCGACUAGACAAAGGCGCAGCGAUAGACCAGGUGGUGGUGUUUGUGGACCCCGUGGAGCAAUGGAAUACUUUCAUGUGGGAUCCAUGUGGUGGAAGCAUGACAACGAAGAACUCUCGAGUUAAAACUCUAGCUCUGCGUGAUCGUACUCGGGAAGAACAACAGAGAGGAGAAAAGAAUUGGAAGUAAAGAGUUCUCUGUGGGAGACAUGUGCUAACUGGAUGGAAGUGGAGCACCAAACUAAGUAACUUUAAAGGCUGCCACCAAGGAGGGACAUAUCAUAUCACUCCAGGGAAGGAAGGAAGGAAGGAACGAGCUCGCGAAGAGCGAGCCAGCAAACAGGUCUAAUCUAUGAGCCACUGCUGCGCGGAGCAGCACUUGAGGAGAUAGAGCUGAGAGACUGCCAAGCAACGAAUUUGCUGGUGGCCUGUCGGUGUUUUACGACUUUGGUGGGAUCCAAGAGCCAGAACUUCCAUGUGGAAGCUGCUUGCUAGUUUUUUUCCUUUUUUUUUUUUUUUGGUUUCUCUUUUCUCGGCAUUGGCAGCAUUGCAACACACAAGACUGGAGAAUCCACAGACACGCAGCGCUGGAGGAGGAGACAUUAAAGAGAACUCGUCGAAGCUGUUCUCUUUCUGGUACGCAGAAAGGCUGGGAAUUCGAAAAGAGGUGUUAAUUCUCUAAGCUUGAGUGCGUUCCAGAAGAGCUUUGGCGCCACCGCCACCUCAAGGACUGGUGUUUUUGCUGGUACCAUCAAUCAAUCACAAGCCAUAGCUCCUGCCGCGUAGGAGAUAACAGUCA